rnacentral:rRNA from 1 species
GACGAACGCUGGCGGCGUGCUUAACACAUGCAAGUCGAACGGAAAGGCCCUGCUUUUGUGGGGUGCUCGAGUGGCGAACGGGUGAGUAACACGUGAGUAACCUGCCCUUGACUUUGGGAUAACUUCGGGAAACUGGGGCUAAUACCGGAUAGGAGCUCCGGCUGCAUGGUGGGGGUGGGAAAGUUUCGGCGGUUGGGGAUGGGCUCGCGGCUUAUCAGCUUGUUGGUGGGGUAGUGGCUUACCAAGGCGUUGACGGGUAGCCGGCCUGAGAGGGUGACCGGCCACAUUGGGACUGAGAUACGGCCCAGACUCCUACGGGAGGCAGCAGUGGGGAAUAUUGCACAAUGGGCGGAAGCCUGAUGCAGCAACGCCGCGUGCGGGAUGACGGCCUUCGGGUUGUAAACCCCUUUCGCCUGUGACGAAGCGCGAGUGACGGUAAUUGGUAAAGAAGCACCGGCUAACUACGUG